GCAAUACCGCUGACGACCGGCGCACGGGUGAGUAACACGUAUCCAACCUUCCCAUAACUCGGGGAUAGCCUUUCGAAAGAAAGAUUAAUACCCGAUAGUACUUUAUUAAGGCAUCUUAAGAAAGUUAAAGAUUUAUUGGUUAUGGAUGGGGAUGCGUUCCAUUAGAUAGUUGGUGAGGUAACGGCUCACCAAGUCUUCGAUGGAUAGGGGUUCUGAGAGGAAGGUCCCCCACAUUGGUACUGAGACACGGACCAAACUCCUACGGGAGGCAGCAGUGAGGAAUAUUGGUCAAUGGGCGAGAGCCUGAACCAGCCAAGUAGCGUGAAGGAUGACGG
rnacentral:rRNA from 1 species